GUCCCUCACCUUUGAAUCUGAGUCCCAGA
rnacentral:piRNA from 1 species